rnacentral:rRNA from 1 species
UGGGGAAUAUUGCGCAAUGGGGGAAACCCUGACGCAGCAACGCCGCGUGAAGGAUGAAGGCCUUCGGGUUGUAAACUUUUGUCUUCAGGGACGAUAAUGACGGUACCUGAGGAGGAAGCCACGGCUAACUACGUGCCAGCAGCCGCGGUAAUACGUAGGUGGCAAGCGUUGUCCGGAUUUACUGGGUGUAAAGGGUGCGUAGACGGGAUUGUAAGUCAGAUGUGAAAUACCGAAGCUCAACUUCGGGGCUGCAUUUGAAACUAUGAUUCUUGAGUGCAGGAGAGGUAAGUGGAAUUCCUAGUGUAGCGGUGAAAUGCGUAGAUAUUAGGAGGAACACCAGUGGCGAAGGCGACUUACUGGACUGUAACUGACGUUGAGGCACGAAAGUGUGGGGAGCAAACA